GUUCACUCUUUCAAUUGCACAUAUACUGAAAUCAAAACAAUACAGAAGAUUAGCAUGACCCCUGCACAAUGAAUGCAAGCAAGUUCAUGAAAUGUUUUAUAUUUUU
ensembl:snRNA U6 U6 spliceosomal RNA